rnacentral:rRNA from 1 species
GUGGGGAAUAUUGGACAAUGGGCGAAAGCCUGAUCCAGCCAUGCCGCGUGUGUGAAGAAGGUCUUCGGAUUGUAAAGCACUUUAAGUUGGGAGGAAGGGCAGUAAGUUAAUACCUUGCUGUUUUGACGUUACCGACAGAAUAAGCACCGGCUAACUUCGUGCCAGCAGCCGCGGUAAUACGAAGGGUGCAAGCGUUAAUCGGAAUUACUGGGCGUAAAGCGCGCGUAGGUGGUUUUGUAAGUUGGAGGUGAAAUCCCCGGGCUCAACCUGGGAACUACCUCCAAAACUGCAUGACUAGAGUACGGUAGAGGGUAGUGGAAUUUCCUGUGUAGCGGUGAAAUGCGUAGAUAUAGGAAGGAACACCAGUGGCGAAGGCGACUACCUGGACUGAUACUGACACUGAGGUGCGAAAGCGUGGGGAGCAAACAGGAUUAGAUACCCUUGUAGUCC